rnacentral:rRNA from 1 species
AUUGAACGCUGGCGGAAUGCUUUACACAUGCAAGUCGAACGGCAGCACGGACUUCGGUCUGGUGGCGAGUGGCGAACGGGUGAGUAACAUAUCGGAACGCAUCCAAUAAUGGGGGAUAACGAGUCGAAAGAUUCGCUAAUACCGCAUACGCCCUACGGGGGAAAGCUGGGGACCUUCGGGCCUGGCGUUAAUGGAGCGGCCGAUAACUGAUUAGCUAGUUGGUGAGGUAAAGGCUCACCAAGGCGACGAUCAGUAGCUGGUCUGAGAGGACGACCAGCCACACUGGAACUGAGACACGGUCCAGACUCCUACGGGAGGCAGCAGUGGGGAGUUUUGGACAAUGGGCGCAAGCCUGAUCCAGCCAUUCCGCGUGAGUGAAGAAGGCCUUCGGGUUGUAAAGCUCUUUCGCAAGGGAAGAAAACUUAGCCACUAACAUUGGUUGAGGUUGACGGUACCUUGAUAAGAAGCACCGGCUAACUACGUGCCAGCCGCCGCCGUAA